rnacentral:lncRNA from 1 species
UGACAGCAGCUGCACCAGCGGCGUGUUCCACACCUGGGAGAUCUGAAACAAACAGGUGGGGACAGAUGUGACACAGGUGUGACACAGGUGUGACACAGAACCACCAGUGUUCCACACCUGGGAGAUCUGAAACAAACAGGUGGGGACAGGUGUGACACAGGUGUGACAGCAGCUGCACCAGCGGCGUGUUCCACACCUGGGAGAUCUGAAACAGGUGGGGACAGGUGUGACACAGGUGUGACACAGCACAGGUGUGACACAGGACAUGUGACAGGUGUGACACAGGUGUGACACGGGUGUGACACAGCACAGGUGUGACACAGGACACACGUGACAGGACAGGUGUGACACAGGUGUGACACAGGUAUGACACAGCACAGGUG